GCCGGAAUAGCUCAGUUGGUAGAGCAGAGGA
rnacentral:tRNA from 4 species